rnacentral:rRNA from 1 species
CAGUCGCCGCGGUAAUACAGAGGGUGCAAGCGUUAAUCGGAAUUACUGGGCGUAAAGCGCGCGUAGGUGGUUUGUUAAGUUGAAUGUGAAAUCCCCGGGCUCAACCUGGGAACUGCAUCCAAAACUGGCAAGCUAGAGUAGGGCAGAGGGUGGUGGAAUUUCCUGUGUAGCGGUGAAAUGCGUAGAUAUAGGAAGGAACACCAGUGGCGAAGGCGACCACCUGGGCUCAUACUGACACUGAGGUGCGAAAGCGUGGGGAGCAAACAGGAUUAGAUACCCGCGUAGUCCCUGUCUCUAUACC